rnacentral:rRNA from 1 species
UAAUCUAUAGAGGCGUUUUCCGCGCCGGACCGCGUCCAAGUCUCUUGGAAUAGAGUAUCAAAGAGGGUGACAAUCCCGUACUUGACGCGACAACCGGUGCUCUGUGAUACGUUCUCAAUGAGUCGAGUUGUUUGGGAAUGCAGCUCUAAAUGGGUGGUAAAUUCCAUCUAAGGCUAAAUAUUGGCGAGAGACCGAUAGCGAACAAGUACCGUGAGGGAAAGAUGAAAAGCACUUUGGAAAGAGAGUUAAACAGCACGUGAAAUUGUUAAAAGGGAAACGAUUGAAGUCAGUCGUGUGAAAGGUAUUCAGCCGUCUCUGGCGGUGUAUUUGCCUUUCACGGGUCAACAUCAGUUUGAUCCGGUAGAAAAAGGCGGGAGGAAGGUGGCACCCUCGGGUGUGUUAUAGCCUCCUGUCAUAUGUGCCGGACCAGACUGAGGAACGCAGCUUGCCGCAAGGCCGGGGUUCGCCCACGUACAAGCUUAGGAUGUUGACAUAAUGGCUUUAAACGACCCGUCU